rnacentral:rRNA from 1 species
AUUGAACGCUGGCGGCAGGCCUAACACAUGCAAGUCGAGCGGAUGAACGGAGCUUGCUUCUGGAUUCAGCGGCGGACGGGUGAGUAUUGCCUAGGAAUCUGCCUGCCAGUGGGGGAGAACGUCCGGAAACGGGCGCUAAUACCGCAUACGACCUGAGGGAGAAGGAGGGGGAUCGUCGGACCUCACGCUAUCAGAUGAGCCUAGGUCGGGUUAGCUAGUUGGUGGGGUUAAGGCCUACCAACGGGACGAUCGGCAGCUGGUCUGAUAGGAGGAGCACUCACCUGGGAAGUGGAACACGCUCCAUACUCCUACGGGACGCACCAGUGGGGAAUAUUGGACAAUGGGCGAGAGUCUGAUCCAGCCAUGGCACGUGUGAGAAGGCGGUGUUCGGAUCGUGAAGCCGGUUAUGUUGUGGGGAAGGGCUGUAAGUUGUUACCUUGCUUUAUUGACGUUACUAACAGAAUAAGCACCGGCUAACUUCGUG